rnacentral:rRNA from 1 species
UACGUAGGGUGCGAGCGUUGUCCGGAAUUACUGGGCGUAAAGAGUUCGUAGGCGGUUUGUCGCGUCGUUCGUGAAAACUUGGGGCUUAACUCCAAGCGUGCGGGCGAUACGGGCAGACUUGAGUACUACAGGGGAGACUGGAAUUCCUGGUGUAGCGAUGAAAUGCGCAGAUAUCAGGAGGAACACCGGUGGCGAAGGCGGGUCUCUGGGCAGUAACUGACGCUGAGGAACGAAAGCGUGGGGAGCGAACAGG